rnacentral:misc_RNA from 1 species
AUAAGAACUCUCCCCCGAUCUCUUAGGGUGUUUGGUUUAGAAUUUGAUGAAGGGUCUCGGAUAAGAACUCUCCUCCGAGUUCUGUGUUUUUGCUUGAAUGAAGAUUAGGUAAGAACUCUCCCCUGACCUCUUAAAGUAUUCGGCUUAAAGUUUUAAUGAAGGAUCUCAGAUAAGAACUCUCUUUCGAUCUCCGUGUUUUUGUUUGAAUGAGGAUCAGGUAAGAAC